rnacentral:rRNA from 1 species
AAAUUGAAGAGUUUGAUCAUGGCUCAGAUUGAACGCUGGCGGCAGGCCUAACACAUGCAAGUCGAACGGUAGCACAGAGAGCUUGCUCUCGGGUGACGAGUGGCGGACGGGUGAGUAAUGUCUGGGAAACUGCCUGAUGGAGGGGGAUAACUACUGGAAACGGUGGCUAAUACCGCAUAACGUCGCAAGACCAAAGAGGGGGACCUUCGGGCCUCUUGCCAUCAGAUGUGCCCAGAUGGGAUUAGCUUGUUGGUGAGGUAACGGCUCACCAAGGCGACGAUCCCUAGCUGGUCUGAGAGGAUGACCAGCCACACUGGAACUGAGACACGGUCCAGACUCCUACGGGAGGCAGCAGUGGGGAAUAUUGCACAAUGGGCGCAAGCCUGAUGCAGCCAUGCCGCGUGUAUGAAGAAGGCCUUCGGGUUGUAAAGUACUUUCAGCGGGGAGGAAGGUGUUGCGGUUAAUAACCGCAGCAAUUGACGUUACCCGCAGAAGAAGCACCGGCUAACUCCGUGCCAGCAGCCGCGGUAAUACGGAGGGUGCAAGCGUUAAUCGGAAUUACUGGGCGUAAAGCGCACGCAGGCGGUCUGUCAAGUCGGAUGUGAAAUCCCCGGGCUCAACCUGGGAACUGCAUUCGAAACUGGCAGGCUUGAGUCUUGUAGAGGGGGGUAGAAUUCCAGGUGUAGCGGUGAAAUGCGUAGAGAUCUGGAGGAAUACCGGUGGCGAAGGCGGCCCCCUGGACAAAGACUGACGCUCAGGUGCGAAAGCGUGGGGAGCAAACAGGAUUAGAUACCCUGGUAGUCCACGCCGUAAACGAUGUCUACUUGGAGGUUGUGCCCUUGAGGCGUGGCUUCCGGAGCUAACGCGUUAAGUAGACCGCCUGGGGAGUACGGCCGCAAGGUUAAAACUCAAAUGAAUUGACGGGGGCCCGCACAAGCGGUGGAGCAUGUGGUUUAAUUCGAUGCAACGCGAAGAACCUUACCUGGUCUUGACAUCCACAGAACUUUCCAGAGAUGGAUUGGUGCCUUCGGGAACUGUGAGACAGGUGCUGCAUGGCUGUCGUCAGCUCGUGUUGUGAAAUGUUGGGUUAAGUCCCGCAACGAGCGCAACCCUUAUCCUUUGUUGCCAGCGGUUAGGCCGGGAACUCAAAGGAGACUGCCAGUGAUAAACUGGAGGAAGGUGGGGAUGACGUCAAGUCAUCAUGGCCCUUACGACCAGGGCUACACACGUGCUACAAUGGCGCAUACAAAGAGAAGCGACCUCGCGAGAGCAAGCGGACCUCAUAAAGUGCGUCGUAGUCCGGAUUGGAGUCUGCAACUCGACUCCAUGAAGUCGGAAUCGCUAGUAAUCGUGGAUCAGAAUGCCACGGUGAAUACGUUCCCGGGCCUUGUACACACCGCCCGUCACACCAUGGGAGUGGGUUGCAAAAGAAGUAGGUAGCUUAACCUUCGGGAGGGCGCUUACCACUUUGUGAUUCAUGACUGGGGUGAAGUCGUAACAAGGUAACCGUAGGGGAACCUGCGGUUGGAUCACCUCCUUA